AGAGUUUGAUCAUGGCUCAGAUUGAACGCUGGCGGCAGGCCUAACACAUGCAAGUCGAACGGUAACAGGAAGCAGCUUGCUGCUUUGCUGACGAGUGGCGGACGGGUGAGUAAUGUCUGGGAAACUGCCUGAUGGAGGGGGAUAACUACUGGAAACGGUGGCUAAUACCGCAUAACGUCGCAAGACCAAAGAGGGGGACCUUCGGGCCUCUUGCCAUCAGAUGUGCCCAGAUGGGAUUAGCUUGUUGGUGAGGUAACGGCUCACCAAGGCGACGAUCCCUAGCUGGUCUGAGAGGAUGACCAGCCACACUGGAACUGAGACACGGUCCAGACUCCUACGGGAGGCAGCAGUGGGGAAUAUUGCACAAUGGGCGCAAGCCUGAUGCAGCCAUGCCGCGUGUAUGAAGAAGGCCUUCGGGUUGUAAAGUACUUUCAGCGGGGAGGAAGGUGUUGUGGUUAAUAACCACAGCAAUUGACGUUACCCGCAGAAGAAGCACCGGCUAACUCCGUGCCAGCAGCCGCGGUAAUACGGAGGGUGCAAGCGUUAAUCGGAAUUACUGGGCGUAAAGCGCACGCAGGCGGUCUGUCAAGUCGGAUGUGAAAUCCCCGGGCUCAACCUGGGAACUGCAUUCGAAACUGGCAGGCUUGAGUCUUGUAGAGGGGGGUAGAAUUCCAGGUGUAGCGGUGAAAUGCGUAGAGAUCUGGAGGAAUACCGGUGGCGAAGGCGGCCCCCUGGACAAAGACUGACGCUCAGGUGCGAAAGCGUGGGGAGCAAACAGGAUUAGAUACCCUGGUAGUCCACGCCGUAAACGAUGUCUACUUGGAGGUUGUGCCCUUGAGGCGUGGCUUCCGGAGCUAACGCGUUAAGUAGACCGCCUGGGGAGUACGGCCGCAAGGUUAAAACUCAAAUGAAUUGACGGGGGCCCGCACAAGCGGUGGAGCAUGUGGUUUAAUUCGAUGCAACGCGAAGAACCUUACCUGGUCUUGACAUCCACAGAACUUUCCAGAGAUGGAUUGGUGCCUUCGGGAACUGUGAGACAGGUGCUGCAUGGCUGUCGUCAGCUCGUGUUGUGAAAUGUUGGGUUAAGUCCCGCAACGAGCGCAACCCUUAUCCUUUGUUGCCAGCGGUUAGGCCGGGAACUCAAAGGAGACUGCCAGUGAUAAACUGGAGGAAGGUGGGGAUGACGUCAAGUCAUCAUGGCCCUUACGACCAGGGCUACACACGUGCUACAAUGGCGCAUACAAAGAGAAGCGACCUCGCGAGAGCAAGCGGACCUCAUAAAGUGCGUCGUAGUCCGGAUUGGAGUCUGCAACUCGACUCCAUGAAGUCGGAAUCGCUAGUAAUCGUGGAUCAGAAUGCCACGGUGAAUACGUUCCCGGGCCUUGUACACACCGCCCGUCACACCAUGGGAGUGGGUUGCAAAAGAAGUAGGUAGCUUAACCUUCGGGAGGGCGCUUACCACUUUGUGAUUCAUGACUGGGGUGAAGUCGUAACAAGGUAACCGUAGGGGAACCUGCGGUUG
rnacentral:rRNA from 2 species